rnacentral:antisense_RNA from 1 species
CGGGGUCGCGGGGGCAGGCGGGGGGUCCCUGGGUCCAGCAGGGAGUGGCCUCCCGGAAGACGCCGGCGAGGGAGGCCCAAGUGCCUGCUCCGAGAAAUCUCAGCGAGGCCUCCUUGGGAGAAAAGUGCAAGGCGGUGACGUCCAGUCUGUAAAAUGUGAAAAACGCCCAGGCCGAAACCACCCAGAACCCGUUCCUGCAGGGAGGAGGGUGGGUGGGACCAACAGGGGAUCAGUCACUGCCCCAAGGCAGGGACUAGCGCUAUGGUGGACGACGGGGGUCUACCUCAGUGUUCCCCAGACACAGGCGGGUUCCUACUGUCUGGCCCCACUUAUGUGAAGUUCUAGAAUAAGCCCCACAUUUUCUGGUGACAGCAAACAGGUGGCAUUAUUUAUAGAUGUAGGGGCAGGUAUUUAUGGGAGCGGCACAGAGAAGAGCAUGAGCUAGGGAGUGGAGGGGGGCAUCCACUGAUUCUGAGAUCCUAUAUUUCUUUGAGAAAACAACUGAAUAAAACAUAGCAAAAUAAUAA